rnacentral:rRNA from 1 species
UACGUAGGGUGCAAGCGUUAAUCGGAAUUACUGGGCGUAAAGCGUGCGCAGGCGGUUACGUAAGACAGGGGUGAAAUCCCCGGGCUUAACCUGGGAACUGCAUUUGUGACUGCAUAGCUAGAGUACGGUAGAGGGGGAUGGAAUUCCGCGUGUAGCAGUGAAAUGCGUAGAUAUGCGGAGGAACACCGAUGGCGAAGGCAAUCCCCUGGACCUGUACUGACGCUCAUGCACGAAAGCGUGGGGAGCAAACAGG